AUUGAACGCUGGCGGCAUGCCUUACACAUGCAAGUCGAACGGCAGCGCGGACUUCGGUCUGGCGGCGAGUGGCGAACGGGUGAGUAAUGUAUCGGAACGUACCAUUCAGUGGGGGAUAACGCAGCGAAAGUUGCGCUAAUACCGCAUAUUCUGUGCGCAGGAAAGCAGGGGAUCGCAAGACCUUGCGCUGAUUGAGCGGCCGAUAUCAGAUUAGCUAGUUGGUGAGGUAAAGGCUCACCAAGGCGACGAUCUGUAGCGGGUCUGAGAGGAUGAUCCGCCACACUGGAACUGAGACACGGUCCAGACUCCUACGGGAGGCAGCAGUGGGGAAUUUUGGACAAUGGGCGCAAGCCUGAUCCAGCCAUGCCGCGUGAGUGAAGAAGGCCUUCGGUUGUAAGACGUCUUUCGGUCCGGGAACGGAAAGUACG
rnacentral:rRNA from 1 species